GCGCGAAAACUUUACAAUGCUGGCAACAGCGAUAAGGGAACCUCGAGUGCCAGGUUACAAAUCUGGCUGUCGAGAUGCCUAAAAAGCAUUUCAUAGCAAGGGCCGGGCAAGACCGGUGCCAGCCGCCGCGGUAACACCGGCGGCUCGAGUGGUAACCGUUAUUAUUGGGUCUAAAGGGUCUGUAGCCGGCCGGAUAAGUCUCUUGAGAAAUCUGGCAGCUUAACUGUCAGGCUUUCAGGAGAUACUGUCUGGCUCGAGGCCGGGAGAGGUGAGAGGUACUUCAGGGGUAGGGGUGAAAUCGUGUAAUCCGUGAAGGACCACCAGUGGCGAAGGCGUCUCACCAGAACGGACCUGACGGCAAGGGACGAAAGCUAGGGGCACGAACC
rnacentral:rRNA from 1 species